UGUCGUGAUUGACUCCGUUUUGCGCGUGACAUGUUGCACCGCGCUGGGUUAAACAAGUCCUUUAAGAAUUUGUAGGCUAUUUGUCGAUUGUGGGUUUGUGAAACCCUUGGAGACUUCGAUGUGAUUAAGGGGUAAACAGGUAACCUGACUUGACUUUGUGCCUGACAUCUCUUAUCUGAUAAAACACAGUUUAAAACUGAAGAAUGAAGAUCAACUUUAUUUCAGUUUACUUACACUACAAACCAGAAAAGGUUUUCACAUUUUCUUUCACCUGCCGUCACCUACUACGGCAAGAAACUAGAGGCUUACAAAGCAGACUUGCAGAAACCCAUGACGAGACACAAAUUGUCUCCACAAUGAAGUCAGUUGAGGAGAAAAGCAACACAUCUGGAUGCGUUUGCCUUCAUUUUUUUUGCUGUUGUUUUGUAGUGCUGCGUGCCUGUCAACAAACAUCUGUCAAAACACAAUUUGGAACUUUGAAAUAAUCACAAACUCCAGUUCAAUAUGGCAUGAAGCAUUACAUGGCACUCAUACUGCAAACCUGUAAACGUUGUCCAACUUCCUCUUACCCAUCUUCCUAUUACACUAGCAAUGAACUAUACAGUGGACCAACAAUAUACAUCAAGUACAUUAUUAGAAAUCACACUUUUUGGCACUUGAGUCAGUCUUUGGUUUUUAAGGAGCUGCCAAGACCGAGUCCCAAUCUGAUACCUCGCAAUCCAUAAAAUAAUGUGCAUACACUCUCAAAGUAUGUUAACGUCAAGCUCAAUACGUAUCCAUGUGCAGGACGCUUUUGUAAAAUGUAUUUUAAUGUAGGCCUCAUAUGUGUGGACAUUAAUGAAGAAUGAAGGAUUCCUCAGUUUGAACGUGUAUUUAAUUAAAUGGUUAUCUAUCGACAUGUGCAGGCUAAAAUGAUGAGUCCAUACAGUUACGUAGUUGGUGGGCAUGUGCGUGACUUCUCUCAACUCUAAUCAACAAUAUUGAUUUAAGGCCUUGUUAAAUGCAACAGUGGCAAACAAGCUCGCAAAUGAUUUACACUUGUUAAACUUCUAUUUGACGUUUCAUCGUUUGGAUGAGUCGCAGUUCCUAACCUGCCUGUUGCUCCCUCCACUCUUAUGCCGCUCAUUGAGGCAGCUUUAUAGCAGGGAUGGCAGAAUUAGUCUAUUUCAGAAGUAUCUUUUGCCUUACAUCGUUUUUUUUUUUUUGUCUUUGUUGCUCCAAUUUCUUACUGCUGCAGCGCGGAGGAGACCCCUGUGUACACACAGAUGUGCCUCUGUGUGUGCCCGUGUUUGUGUGGCUUUGCUACCAUUUCGACUAUUACCUCCCCAAAAAUACUAACAUUGUGUCAUGUAAACUUAAGCUAUUACUCCUCCAUUUGACAAGGUAUUGAUAGUUUUGACUAUUUAGUUUCUGUGUGACCUGUACAACUUCAGAAAAUGAAGGAAAACAAUCUUCUUGCCCCGAUCAACUGAAAACCACAGUAUCCGACCCGAAUUCUGAUCACGUGAUCGGAUUGGGACCCAAAUAGCAGGCAUGGGGAGGCUGGCGCGACUCAGCUGUAAGUACAGUGUACUAUAGGCUGAUGGUUGUUCACUGAAAGACAGGGUGCUGUUUAAUCUUCUGACUGACCGGGCUCGGAUUUAGCAAAGAGCUCAACUACCAGCUAAGUGGAUUGUCUCUUUCUUACCCUCGGAGGGGCUGGCCCCGUCUCAUAGAAGUGAACCCCGUGCUCACCCCCUCCCUCUCCUGGGUCAAUGGUGAGUCCCGCUUCUCAGUGUGGAAAAGAAGUGAGGAUCUUUGAAAGGCAAUGGGCCUCAUUCGCUAACUGCGCCUACGCACAAAUGAGUGUGCCUCGCAUGCAUACGUACGUUUGACGCACGCGUUUGUGAUUCAUCAAUAUCUUUGAACUUGAAUUCGUGGGUUAUUCCGCAAACAAAUUUAGAACAUCCUCGGACUAUUCGGAUGCAUAAAGAACAAGGGAUCAACCUUUCAAAAGAAGUUGAGCACACGUUUGCUAACCAAGAUGCACAACGUAUUGAAACUGCAGUCGUUUCUAAAAUCAAUAAUGAUUUGAAGAAUAAUAAAUUAAAUUGGGCAUUUAGUAUUGAAUUUACUAAUGUCUUAAAGGGGAAUUCAAAUCAGAAAUGCUCUUUAUAAUAAUAUGUUCUACGGCCCCCACUGUUCGAAACACGGCAAUCUGAUGAACAUUACUUUUAUGGAGUAUGACAAUGUUUGUGCGCAAUAAUUCCUGCACAUUUGGUAGUGAUUGAGGCCCAAUGAAAGCAUCUUUUGGCAUUGACGCCACACCAAACAUAAAUCAUCCCUGGGGCAACCACUAUUUUAUUCACAAUGUCAUUAAGCAAGAGAGCUGACUCAUUGUGUACAAACUUAAAAAAAAAA